UACGUAGGGUGCGAGCGUUAAUCGGAAUUACUGGGCGUAAAGCGUGCGCAGGCGGCUUUUGCAAGACAGAUGUGAAAUCCCCGGGCUUAACCCUGGGAACUGCAUUUGUGACUCGCAUGGCUGGAGUGCGGCAGAGGGGAUGGAAUUCCGCGUGUAGCAGUGAAAUGCGUAGAGUAUGCGGAGGAACACCGAUGGCGAAGGCAGCUCGCUGGGACGUGAGCUGACCG
rnacentral:rRNA from 1 species